rnacentral:rRNA from 1 species
GCGGCGUGCCUAAUACAUGCAAGUCGAGCGGACAGAAGGGAGCUUGCUCCCGGAAGUUAGCGGCGGACGGGUGAGUAACGCGUGGGUAACCUGCCCUAUACACACGGAUAACGUACCGAAAGGUACGCUAAUACGGGAUAAAGUUGUUGGAUGGCAUCUUCUAACAAUCAAAGCUCCGGCGGUAUAGGAUGGACCCGCGUCUGAUUAGCUAGUUGGUGAGGUAAUGGCUCACCAAGGCGACGAUCAGUAGCCGACCUGAGAGGGUGAUCGGCCACACUGGAACUGAGACACGGUCCAGACUCCUACGGGAGGCAGCAGUGGGGAAUAUUGCACAAUGGGCGAAAGCCUGAUGCAGCAACGCCGCGUGAGCGAUGAAGGUCUUCGGAUCGUAAAGCUCUGUCCUCAAGGAAGAUAAUGACGGUACUUGGGGAGGAAGCCCCGGCUAACUACGUGCCAGCCGCCGCCGUAAGAC